CAGGACUACAGGUAUGAAAUCUAAGGAUGCCCCCUCUCUGGAGCUGCCUGCCAGUGUUUGAAUCGUGAAGAUCGUGAUGCGUGAGUUAAUCCGUGCUAAGAACUCGGAAGUGAGUAGCAAAUCGUUGCUUCUUAUAGUGCAAGUUACAAAUGACACAACUGUUUGUGUAACUAUUAAUAUGUGUCUCCUCACACCUCCCACACUCUAAACACAAGAAGCCACAGAAUUUGGUUAAUUUCUUUUCAUGUUUUUGUUUGUUUGGUUUUGGGUUUUUUUUGUUUUGUUUUUGACAGGCUCUCACUGUGUCGCCCAGGCUGGAGUGCAGUGGCACGAUCUCCGCUCGCUGCAACCUCGCCUCCCGGAUUCAAA
rnacentral:lncRNA from 1 species